UGGCUCAGGACGAACGCUGGCGGCGUGCCUAAUACAUGCAAGUCGAGCGAAUGACGAGGAGCUUGCUCCUUUGAUUUAGCGGCGGACGGGUGAGUAACACGUGGGUAACCUACCCUAUAGACUGGGAUAACUUCGGGAAACCGGAGCUAAUACCGGAUAAUACUUUUGAACACAUGUUCGAAAGUCGAAAGAUGGUUUCGGCUAUCACUAUAGGAUGGACCCGCGGCGCAUUAGCUAGUUGGUGGGGUAAUGGCUCACCAAGGCAACGAUGCGUAGCCGACCUGAGAGGGUGAUCGGCCACACUGGGACUGAGACACGGCCCAGACUCCUACGGGAGGCAGCAGUAGGGAAUCUUCCACAAUGGACGAAAGUCUGAUGGAGCAACGCCGCCGUGAGUGAAGAAGGAUUUCGGUUCGUAAAACUCUGUUGCAAGGGAAGAACAAGUAGCGUAGUAACUGGCGCUACCUUGACGGUACCUUGUUAGAAAGCCACGGCUAACUACGUGCCAGCCGCCGC
rnacentral:rRNA from 1 species